rnacentral:rRNA from 1 species
AGCGAACGCUGGCGGCAGGCCUAACACAUGCAAGUCGAACGGAGUGGCGGACGGGUGAGUAACACGUGGGAACGUGCCAUUUGGUUCGGAACAACUCAGGGAAACUUGAGCUAAUACCGGAUGCCAUUGGAGCGGCCCGCGUAUGAGUAGAAAGUUGGUGAGGUAAAGGCUCACCAAGGGGACGAUCAGUAGCUGGUCUGAGUGGAUGAUCAGCCACAUUGGGACUGAGAAACGGCCCAAACUCUUACGGGAGGCAGCAGUGGGGAAUCUUGCGCAAUGGGCGAAAGCCUGACGCAGCCAGGCCGCGUGAAUGAUGAAGGUCUUAGGAUUGUAAAAUUCUUUCACCGGGGACGCGGUACCCGGAGAAGAAGCCCCGGCUAACUUCGUGCCAGCAGCCGCGGUAAUAC